GUUGCCCGGAAGUUGAAGUCGCGCAAAGUCAAUGGCAAUGAAGCUGAUUGCUUUAGAACUCCAUAUCGGCUUCACCUGCUGACUAGGAAAUGACCGUCUUACUUCAGUACUCAAGCAAGACCGUGCGGGAGAUGUAGACGUUUUCUCGCUAAAGUCUGGGAGUUUAAUUUUCUCGGGGCUGGAGCUGCUGUUCAAUCUUCUUUUUGAUUUGGGGACUCAGAAGUUUAUUCGUCAAAUAUCGGGCUUUUACAACAGCUUGUGUUACAAAGUGCCAACGAAAAAAAAGCAUCGUCUCCUGAGGCUAGGGGCAUUUUGUUUUAGAGAACAGUUUGAGAUUUAAGAAGCACAAAGGAAAAUCUCCCCCCCCCCCCCCCCCCGUUAACUUUUGAAUUCAAUAAGGUCACCUAAAGUAUUUUUUUAAACAAAAGACCAAAAGAUUUAUUUCACGAACGUUAUCUACAAGGUGAAGUUAUCAAUGCAUCGAAGCUGUGUCAUUUGAAUCCGAUGUGAUUAUGUACGAAAAGUGACUGAUAAGCGAGCUGUCCCUGGUCUGGACUUGUUCUUCCGUUGGACUGUCUGUGGUCAGCUCGAACCCACGGCCUGGACAAGGUCUGUUUGAUAAAUUGGUUGAGCACUUUGGGGAUUUCCCACAACUCCAUUUCGUCUGCUCGGAGAAGCUAGGAAAUCGACUUCUGAGUGAAGAUAAGGCACUCUUUGCUGGAUUUUAUUUUUGGAGGUGUAAGAUAUCAGUUGGGUGUUUGUAUGCAAUUGUUGGCUUCAUUCGAAGUGGUCGUACUUGAAAGAAGCUUCCUUGUUGUCAGCUGCUGUGGAGCCCCACAAAUUUAAUAAUUGCAGGAGGUCAUAAAGACACAGGUUCCGAAAUGUAUGGUUGGAUUUACUUGAGGGAGCUUUUAAGUUUGUUUGAAAAAAAAACACUAGUACAAUGAAAGUAGAGAUCUAGGAAGAAAUGUUACAACAAUGUUUGUACCUCAAAAGAACACCACUGACUGGAAAGUGCUUUGGAUUUUCCUUAUGUCAUAAAAGGCACUACGAGUUACACAGAUCGACAGCACAGAUAAAGGCCCUCGGCCCAUCAUGUCUGCAAAGGUCAAAAAUAACCACCGAACUAUUCUAAAAGCUAAUUUCUUACAAAAAGUAUUUGAAGAUUGUGGAAUGAUGACAGCCAGGUCAGGCGUGGUCUUGAGUGUUCAGUCAGGUGAUAUAAAUAAAUAAUUUCCAACUUG